rnacentral:tRNA from 1 species
ACCUGGGUGGCUCAGUCGGUUGAGUGUCUGACUUCAGCUCAGGUCAUGAUCUCACAGUUUGUGGGUUUGAGCCCCGUGUCAGGCU